AACGAACGCUGGCGGCAUGCCUAACACAUGCAAGUCGAACGAGACCUUCGGGUCUAGUGGCGCACGGGUGCGUAACGCGUGGGAACCUGCCCUUAGGUUCGGAAUAACUCCCCGAAAGGGGUGCUAAUACCGGAUAAUGUCUUCGGACCAAAGAUUUAUCGCCUUUGGAUGGGCCCGAGUUGGAUUAGCUGGUUGGUAGGGUAAAAGCCUACCAAGGCGACGAUCCAUAGCUGGUCUGAGAGGAUGAUCAGCCACACUGGGACUGAGACACGGCCCAGACUCCUACGGGAGGCAGCAGUGGGGAAUAUUGGACAAUGGGCGAAAGCCUGAUCCCGCAAUGCCGCGUGAGUGAUGAAGGCCUUAGGGUUGUAAAGCUCUUUUACCCGGGAUGAUAAUGACAGUACCGGGAGAAUAAGCUCCGGCUAACUCCGUG
rnacentral:rRNA from 1 species